UACGUAGGGGGCUAGCGUUGUCCGGAAUCAUUGGGCGUAAAGCGCGUGUAGGCGGUCCGGUAAGUCCGCUGUGAAAGUCGAGGGCUCAACCCUCGAAUGCCGGUGGAUACUGCAGGGCUAGAGUCCGGAAGAGGCGAGUGGAAUUCCUGGUGUAGCGGUGGAAUGCGCAGAUAUCAGGAGGAACACCAAUAGCGAAGGCAGCUCGCUGGGACGGUACUGACGCUAAGGCGCGAAAGCGUGGGGAGCGAACAGG
rnacentral:rRNA from 1 species